rnacentral:tRNA from 1 species
CGGGGCGUAGCGUAGCCCGGUUGAGCGCCUGCUUCGGGAGCAGGAGGUCGGAGGUUCAAAUCCUCUCGCCCCGA